rnacentral:lncRNA from 1 species
AGGCCCCCUAACACCUCAUUGUGAGUUGGAACAUUAGUGAAGCAGCAACAGCAGCCUGCUAGACCAAGCCAAGAGGACAGAGCUGGCAUAGACAUGUGCUGGCUUGAGGAGCCUACAGACUCACCAGAAAGCAUAAGGAAUCAUUUUCAGGAGCUGCAUUGGGACUGAAAAGUAGGAACUUCUCAAUUGGUUAAAAUCUCUUCAGCACUUUGAAGAUUCAUUUACAAAGAAUAAUGGAUACCACACACAUACAAAGAAGGCAGCGUUCAUGUCUGGUACAUGAGAAGACAACCCACUGUGGAGAUGUGCCAAGAUGGUUGCACACCACUGAGAUAGAGUCGCUGGCUGAACCUGGAACUCAGCAAUUCUACUAUUUGUCUCAUAGAGGAACCCCAGGAAUCCCCUGUUUCUGUGUCUCCAUUAUUAGGAUCACAAGUGUAUGUUGCUGGACCAGACCUUCUUUCCAAGAAGGUGGUAGGGAUCUAACAUGAGAUACCAUGAUAAUACAGCAAGUACUUUGCCAAGUAUGAAAACUGGAAAGUUCAGGACCAAGGCACCAUCUGCCUCAGCAUAUGGACAGAAUAUUUGAAGAAACAAUUAGGGAAGGCUGAAAGAAGCUGAGAAGUAGGACUUCCCUGUAGGAAGACCAGCAGUCUCAAUUAACCUGGAUCCCCGAGAUCUCUCAAACACUGAACUACCAAACAGUCAGCAUAUAUGAACUGAUAUGAAGCCCCAACACACAUACAGUAGAAGACUGCCAUGGCAGGAGCCUAUGCCUGCAUUCCCUGACACUGGGUGAGUCACUCAUUCUACAAAACUACUCCCACCCCAACACUACUUUCUGGUCAGCCAUAAAGAUGCUUGUCAACCUCCAUUGCUGAGCCUGCCUGCUGUCUAGGACUCUUUUUCUAAGUGGCACCAAAAAUUCUGUAUUUCCCCUUCAGAGGACAAAGCUGUCUCUUGGAUGCCGUUUGAUUGUUUCUCUGGGGAGCUAAAGGUUUGGAAGAAUAUAAAAGAGAGAUGUAGAUUUCACAUAAAUUCCUCUCUCGGGAAAAGGUCAUUGAGCCCAGAAGAAGGAACAAACUACCUUGUAAAACUCAUCAUUAAACUCAGUUUACUUAGUCCCAGGGCACUAUUUAUGGCAAGUCACUAAAAUGCCAGCCUAUUCCUCAAUGAAAUGACUCACUCUACUUUACAGAGAUGCUUCUCAUAUUUUGUUGGAUAAUGUCUAAGGGAUACAUAACUACUUUAUUUUCUCAGAACUAAAAGUUUUUAUACCAAAACAUGGGUUAUGGGAAAAGCCAUUCAACAGUAAUACUCUUAAAACCAUCUUGCAUGGAUUGAUUCUUUUUUAAAGAUUUCUCCAUAAAGGCAAGAGACGGAAGGAUCAUGUUCACUCCUUGAGCAGUUGCACUAGGGUGCUCAUUAUUGGCUGAUGGGAAUGCUGAGUUAAUGAGCCUUAGGAUCAGCCCUUGAAACAGAGUGGAUAACUUAGCCAGAUGCUUUCUCAGCAUCACUUCUCUAUCUCCUCAGCAAACAUCAAUAAUAAUGCCUAUGAAAAUCUUUAGAAAUGCCUUAUACAGAAAAACAAAAGAAGAAACAAAAAUUUACUACCAUGAAAGAUAUCCCAAGACAAGCCCAAUUGUUUUAAGACAUCACUUUGUCUCAGUCUUGUCCACUAAAGCCAGACAGACAGUAAUUCCUGGCGCUCUGUGACUCUCUUCCCAGCCUUGCAUAAGCCCAGAUUUAUGACUGCAACAUCAAAAGUGUUUCUUGAACAGAAGCUACUGUGUUUCCUCUCCCACUAGGAACACUUGGAUGCCAAGAAGCGUUCUGAUUACAGCAGUAUGGACCUACCAAUAGAGACAAUGGAUGCUUUCAGUACCCUGCCAUGUAUAAGAUACCUCCCCCAAAUAAAAUAGAGAGAUUGACAUUAAUGAGAGGAGUCAGGUACAACAUUCACUAUGCUGCCAAAUCACUUCUAAGAUAUCUGACCUUUAAAGGUGGAUAAUGUUGAAUAUCUUCACCACUUCUUAUCCUGGAGAUCACUAAUCUUGG